rnacentral:rRNA from 1 species
UACGUAGGGGGCUAGCGUUGUCCGGAAUCAUUGGGCGUAAAGCGCGUGUAGGCGGCCCGGUAAGUCCGCUGUGAAAGUCGGGGGCUCAACCCUCGGAUGCCGGUGGAUACUGUCGGGCUCGAGUACGGAAGAGGCGAGUGGAAUUCCUGGUGUAGCGGUGAAAUGCGCAGAUAUCAGGAGGAACACCAAUUGCGAAGGCAGAUCUCUGGGCCGUAACUGACGCUGAGGAGCGAAAGCAUGGGGAGCGAACAGG